rnacentral:tRNA from 1 species
UGGGGUGUGGUCCAACGGCAGGACACUUGACUCUGGAUCAAGUUAUUGGGGUUCGAAUCCCUGCACCCCAGCCA